UGGGGAAUUUUGGACAAUGGGCGAAAGCCUGAUCCAGCAAUGCCGCGUGUGUGAAGAAGGCCUUCGGGUUGUAAAGCACUUUUGUCCGGAAAGAAAUCCUUGGCUCUAAUACAGUCGGGGGAUGACGGUACCGGAAGAAUAAGCACCGGCUAACUACGUGCCAGCAGCCGCGGUAAUACGUAGGGUGCAAGCGUUAAUCGGAAUUACUGGGCGUAAAGCGUGCGCAGGCGGUUCGCUAAGACCGAUGUGAAAUCCCCGGGCUCAACCUGGGAACUGCAUUGGUGACUGGCAGGCUAGAGUAUGGCAGAGGGGGGUAGAAUUCCACGUGUAGCAGUGAAAUGCAUAGAGAUGUGGAGGAAUACCGAUGGCGAAGGCAGCCCCCUGGGCCAAUACUGACGCUCAUGCACGAAAGCGUGGGGAGCAAACAGGAUUAGAUACCCUGGUAGUCCACGCCCUAAACGAUGUCAACUAGUUGUUGGGGAUUCAUUUCCUUAGUAACGUAGCUAACGCGUGAAGUUGACCGCCUGGGGAGUACGGUCGCAAGAUUAAAACUCAAAUGAAUUGACGGGGUCAUAGCUGUUUCCU
rnacentral:rRNA from 1 species